CUAGGAGAAUAACAAUGGCUGUUUACCCGCUUUGGAUGCGGGAGGUUGCAGGUUCGAAUCCUGCCUCUUAGAC
rnacentral:tRNA from 1 species